AGUUCCUGGUAAAAUCGGGUAGCUUAACUAUCUGUAUGCUAGGAAUACUACUAUGCUAGAGGGCGGGAGAGGUCUGAGGUACUACAGGGGUAGGGGUGAAAUCUUAUAAUCCUUGCAGGACCACCAGUGGCGAAGGCGUCAGACUGGAACGCGCCUGACGGUGAGGGACGAAAGCCAGGGGAGCGAACCGGAUUAGAUACCCGGGUAGUCCUGGCCGUAAACGAUGCACACUAGGUGAUGGCACGGCCAUGAGCCGUGUCAGUGCCGUAGGGAAACCGUUAAGUGUGCCGCCUGGGAAGUACGGUCGCAAGGCUGAAACUUGAAGGAAUUGGCGGGGGAGCACCACAAGGGGUGAAGCCUGCGGUUCAAUUGGACUCAACGCCGGGAAACUUACCAGGGGAGACAGUAGAAUGACGGUCAGGUUGACGACCUUACCUAACAAGCUGAGAGGAGGUGCAUGGCCGUCGCCAGUUCGUGCUGUGAGGUAUCCUGUUAAGUCAGGCAACGAACGAGACCCGCGCCUUUAUUUGCCAGCAAGAAGUCACGACUUCGUUGGGAACAAUAAAGGGACCGCCGUCGAUAAGACGGAGGAAGGAGCGGGCGAAGGCAGGUCAGUAUGCCCCGAAACCCCUGGGCUACACGCGGGCUGCAAUGGUAUGAACAAUGGGCUGUGACUCCGAAAGGAGAAACCAAUCCCGAAAUCAUAUCUCAGUUGGGAUUGUCGGCUGUAACUCGCCGACAUGAACGUGGAAUCCCUAGUAAUC
rnacentral:rRNA from 1 species